UACGUAGGUGGCAAGCGUUGUCCGGAAUUAUUGGGCGUAAAGCGCGCGCAGGCGGUUCCUUAAGUCUGAUGUGAAAGCCCCCGGCUCAACCGGGGAGGGUCAUUGGAAACUGGGGAACUUGAGUACUGAAGAGGAAAGCGGAAUUCCACGUGUAGCGGUGGAAAUGCGUAGAGAUGUGGAGGAACACCAGUGGCGAAGGCGGCUCACUGGCCCGAUACUGACGCUGAGGCACGAAAGCGUGGGGAGCGAACAGG
rnacentral:rRNA from 1 species